rnacentral:lncRNA from 12 species
GGAGGGCUGACGUACAUCGGGACCCUCUUUCACCCAGCCCUUGGGAACUCUGCAGGCUCCGGAGCAAUCCCAGGCAGCAGCCUCCUCCCUCGUAAUCCAAGGCUCAUAAGCAGACGGGAUGAGUGAUCGUUGCUGUGGGAACGUCCCCGGGAGCGUCCUGAUGGCCAUGAUUAAGAAGUGCCUUCGGUCCGGUGCCGCGUGAAUACAUGGCACCGGCUGGUGGGGGAGAUAAGCAUGAAGAUUUAUCUGCACGUGUGGGUAAAGCACAUCCAAUGGGCACUUGUUCACUGUGCUCUGAUACCACGGAGAUAGCAUCUCUGGAAGUAGAUGGAUAGAUACCCCUCUCCGCCGCGGUGCCCGGUUUCCUUCAUCUCCCUGGCCUGGGGAAGGGCAGGUACCUCGCAGCUUGCGCGGGCUCACAGGGCAGUUCUGGGAACAACACUUUCUUGCUCGAGCUGCGGAUGACCUUCCACUGCGUGGCUACCAGACAAAUCUUCCUAGUGUGCUGCUCUCAUCGAGGGGCUGCCCCCCGCAAAGGCCUCGGGUGGCUCCCAGCAGGGACUUAAGUCGACUCCUGAGCUCCACCUCACACCUCUGCAGCCACACGUGUGGACUCUUCGCCCUGGAAGCCCUCUCCCUCGCUGAAUGCCCCGUGCAUGUUCCCGGACCCAGGCUCCCGAGUCCCAGUGUCCACCACCCACGGAAGCCAUAGGCUCGCUCAAAACACUCCCAGCCACCCCAAACCCUGACUCUGUGUCCUUGUCCUGCCAGGUGUUCUUACAGCUUCUUCCACCCAGGACUCCACCACAUGAACGCAAUGAUGAAACAAAGCUUGAAAGACACCAUUUUAUACCAAUGAGCACAGGCGGAUGGAUCAGGGACAGUAAAAACUCGUUGAAAUCCCGGCCGUAUGCCAUUACCUGUUCUGACAUGAGACCUGAUGCUCUCAGUGAGCAUUUUGAGAUUGCCUGAAGAUUGCCAGGGAGAGAGGUAGGCCUGGAAACCCACACGGGAUGGAGAUGGCGGUCAGGAAGCACUGCCCUCAGCUGGGCCGGCUCUCCCAGAGUAGAAGGGCAUCCCCAGCCUAGAGAGGCAUCGUUGCUGGCCUUACAGCCUCCCUAAGGGAAUCAAGCUGGUGCAUUGCUCCGGACAAGGGUAAGCUGCGAUGUGUGCAUGUUGUGUGUGGAAGCGUGCACGCCCUUCAAACCUCACCAGGCCGGGACUCUCCUCUGGUCAUUCGUCCCCAGGCCCUACACCAGACAAUGAGAGUCCGGGCAGUCUGCAGGCCUGGGUUCCCCUUCCCUAUAAGGAAUAGUCCUGCUCCUUCCCACAAUUCACACAUCAGGUACAAUGUUGACGUUCUCAUAGAUCAAAAAUUUCAAGCAACCAAAGCCACAAGAUCUUUUAGAAGAGUGAAAAUGAAACAAGCUGGACAACCUCUCAGCUGCCUGUACGACAGUAAGAAUGAGCUCAGUCAAUGGGACCAGAGUCCGCAUGGGGGCCAGCAUGGGAAAAGUUGUUUAGCCAAAAUUCUGGUGGACUGUGGGGCGUGUCACUGAGGCAUCAGACCGCAGCCUAUUAACAUGCGUGCUAGCUGUCCCGUGCACUCCAGGAUAGCGUGAAUAGCUUUCCUUCUACAGGACAGAUUGCAAAAUAAGACAACUGCCCUGAAUUAAGGCAACAAUUUCUCUUGGCAAACAGGACUGGAGGAAGUCAGCCCUUUCUUUCCUUGGAUUGGAAUCAGGAUUAAAUCACAGUUCUGCUGUUGAGUUGGUUUGUUUGUUUGUUUUCAAUAAUUUUAUUUCUCACAGGGUUCAAAAUAUUUCUCAGGGUAGAGAGCACUCAAGACUUCAUUAUUAUAACCACAGCUCACUUAGCAUCAAAAUAUGAAAAAAAUGUCAUACUUUUAAAAGGGCCAAGUUCAUGGCAGAAAUGCUAAUUAGG